GGCGGUGGUGAGUAGCUACCUUUUUCUGCAACACGUCAGCGGCAGCGGCAACAGCGCGUCACGAUGGCAGAACAGCAGCAACGUGACUCGCUCUGCCCACGGUUGAUUGAUUACCUGGCAAUCGUUGGGGCGCGCACGACGGUCGUCGCACGUUCCGGAACUGGCAACGCUGCCCCAGCACCCGGUUCGGGCAGCCAAUCAUCCGUGCAGCUACCAGAGCUGUUGCGACGCUACCCACCGAUGGACCACGAUGACUUCCCUUUGCCGCUGGACAUGGUGUACUUCUGCCAGCCGGAAGGAUGCGUCAGUGUUGGCUCCCGGCGUACCGGGUCCGCCAUCCGGGACACGACCUCCUUCGUGUUUACGCUCACCGACAAAGACUCGGGCAAGACGCGGUACGGCAUCUGCGUGAAUUUCUACCGUCCGAUCGAGAAGUCAUUGCCGCGCGUGAGUGUCGGGGCCGGUACGGCCGCUGGCAAGCAGCCCCCGAACUCCUCCCUUCGCCGCGAAUCCUGGCGCAAGAGUAUGGAGAAAAGCUCCGACUCGGCUUUUUCGAGUGACUAUCGGAGCAGCAACAUUGCGCCGAGCGACUCCUCCGACCGGGACUGUCCCAGCCGACGGGAUUCCGAUCCGCCGAACGCGGGCAACAACUACACCGCUACGCAUCAGUCGCUGCUGGGCGUGGUCGGACCGUCCGGCGACUCGGAGUCCGGCGGCAGCCAUUCGCCGUCGCCGCGCGCCUCGCGCAAGCGGUCGAAGAUCCGCAACCAUUCGCUCACCUCGCUCUGCAUCCUGUCGCAUCAUCCAUUUUUGACGAUCUUCCGCGAGUGUCUGUUCAUUCUCAAGCGGCUGAUCGACGCGUGCAACGAUUCCUGCAGCCCGAAGCGGGUCGGUGCCGCCCGACCGUCCGUGCGCGACAGCGUCUGGAACGUGCUGACCAACCAGGCCUCGGAGUCGACCAGCUCGGUGAUACUGCACGAUGUGCAGGAGAUUGAGACCUGGAUCCUGCGGCUGCUGUCCGCGCCGGUCCCUGUGCCUGGGUCGACGCGCGUCGAGGUAGACGUACUGUCCGCUGCACUCUACCAGCCGCUGGUCUUUGCCCUGCCGGAUCACACCCGAUUCACGCUGGUGGACUUUCCGCUGCAUCUGCCGCUCGAGCUGCUCGGUGUCGAUACGUGCCUGCGGGUGCUGACGCUCAUACUGCUCGAGCACAAAGUAAUCAUACAGUCGCGCAACUAUAACGCGCUCUCGAUGUCUGUGAUGGCGUUCGUGCAUUUGAUCUAUCCGCUGGAGUACAUGUUCCCGGUUAUUCCACUGCUGCCGACCUGUAUGGGCAGUGCCGAGCAGUUGCUGCUCGCGCCUACACCGUACAUUAUCGGCCUGCCAGCAACCUUUCUGAUGUACAAGAAGAACUUUCGAUUGCCGGACGACAUUUGGCUGGUUGAUUUGGACUCGAAUAAGCUAACACCGGCGUCCGGUGAUAUGGAAGCAAUACCAAUGUUACCUGAGCCGGAAGGUGGUAUACUGAAGAAUCACUUAAAACAGGCCCUCAACUCCAUGACAUCGGGUAGUCAAACGUCCUCGCUGCCUGUCCGUCAGCAAGCCACGGGCAACGGUCGCGAUAGCUUCAGCAGCUCUAACGCCACCACUGGGCUAGCGCUGCAGGCUCCCCAAGCGUCUGCAUCGCACGGUUCGAAUCACGGUGGUGCCUCGUCGAACGCCGCUAUGCCCAUGACCGGACUCUCCAGUUCCACGGCCGCCUCCCAACAACCGAGCCCCGUGGGACAGCCGUCGACCGUAAAUCCGCUCAUCUUCGGUGCCGACGUCGACUCGGUAGACGUGGCGACACGCGUUGCGAUGGUGCGCUUCUUUAACUCGCAAAACACACUCGCAAACUUUACCGAACAUACGCGAAUUCUGCGGCUGUACCCGCGACCGGUUGUCGCCUUCCAGAUCAACAGCUUCCUGCGGUCACGGCCGCGCACGUCCGCCUUUCUCAACCGCUUCGCUCGCACCCAGGCCGUUGAGUGGCUGGCCGAGUGGUCGCUAACGCCCUCGAAUGUGGCGUUUCUGCGCGUGCAGACAGGCGUGCUAGACCCGGCGCAGGUCGGCGAUAAGCCGAAAUGGUACGCCCACACUCUUAACCCGAUCCGCUUCCAGGUGUGGGACGAGGGCAGCACGCUGAGCGUGGCACUGAAGCGCAUGCUGCGUCUCGAGAAUCAGCCCACCGAUGAGAGUGGUUCCGAUUCGGACGGCGCGGACAGUACCAGCUCGUCCUACUCGUCGCUGAGCGACUUUGUGUCUGAGAUCGUAUCAUCGGACCUGUCGCCGAGCCUGCACGAGGUGUACGCCAACCAGCACCAUCAUCACGUCGCGCCGAAGAACCUGUCGUCCAACCUGGAUCCGCGUCUGGUGUAUCGGCCGCCGAGCUCGCUGCGCUUUCCGGAAGGUAUGCAGCCGCAGCCGCGAGAACCGAGCGGCACGGAGCAGGUAGAUUCGGCCGAGUCGACCUCGUCGAGCCAGUCCGAUCUCAGCUCGCCCAGCUUCAACCGUGACUCGGAGUUCGAGUUCAACCCGAAGACCCGCAACGAGGUGCACCUGGUCGUGAAGCCGGAGCGCGAGCACGGCAGCUUCGAGAACGAGUCGGACUCCAACUCCACCACCACGCCAAAGACGAUCGUAUCGAAGGACAGUGGGGGGUCGCACGAGGCCGUCACAGGCGUGAAGCGCACCGGGAAGCUGUCCAAGAUUCCUCCACCCAUAUCGCCGAACUUUGCGCGCCAGCAGAGCGGGGCGAACUUGCUGGCACGCACGUCAAGCUCUGGCUCUACCGGGUCCGGCAGCCAUCCGCCGUCGCUUGGAUCUGCCGGAUCGCAGCGCCAGAGCUCGCAGGGCUCCCUGUUCGAGGUGCUGACCACGCAGGCGAAGGAACUGGUUAGGGAGACGACCCGCCAGAGCAGCCAGGAUGGGCUCCUGGCACAGAUGGACAAGUUCAAAGUGCAGGCCAAGGAAAUAGAAGAAGAUCUCAAGAUUCUAGCUCCUCUUGAGCAGCUUACGUUGCAGGCUAAGAAGGCCGCAGAGGAGGCGUCUAAGCAAGCGCUCGAAGCGUCCAAGCAGGCGGCUGGCGUUAGCAAGAACACCAUCGAAGAUCUGACCUAUGUCGGCAAAUCUACCAUCGGUGAUCUCACUAAAUCGGCCAAGGAGGUAGCGGCCAAGAAGGGGCUGCUGCAGCAAGGUACCGGUCCGUACACUGGACCACAAUCGCUGAAUUCUCCGACCACAAACACGGUGGCGACCACCAACCAGUCGCUAUUUUCAUCGAUCACCAGCGACUUCAACGGUAUCGCCCAGUCAACAUCCUCAAUGUUUUCCGAUCUGUUCGGUGGCAAGCAGAAACACCAGCAGCAACAGCAGCAUCACCAGCAGCAGCACCAACAGCACCACCAACAGCAGGGAGGCGAUUCACAUCGUGGGACCAGCAUGCUACAGCAACAGCAGCUCAAAAUGAAGGAAAAACUAUCGUUCGAUCCAUUUCCCGGCCGCAAGGGGCUGGUGGAGCGAAACCCGCUGAUCAAGCACUCUGGCCCAAAGCAAACGAAGGAGGAAAUGCAGCGAAUACAGAACGCCGAACGAUCGACGAGUAACUCGGAAAAUCAAACCUUUCUAAAGGAUCUGGUCAACCAGGUCCUAGCCGGGGAGGGCGUUGGAUGGCUGAAGCUGAACCGACUCAAGAAACUGAUGGAGGACGAAUCGUAUCGUAUGCUGGUGCUGGGAAAGCUCAACAGGACGCUAGAGCGAAAGAUUGGCCCAGACGACCAUAUCGACGACGUGUGCAUAUCGAAAGCAGUGUACAAAGGAACGCUCAAGUGUUUGUUGGCGAUAACGCACGGGCUGGAGCACACGAUAGGGAACUUUGGUCUCGGCGGGAUGGCGUCCGUGUUUCAAAUGAUGGAAAUCGCUCACACGCACUACUGGAGCAAGGAUUUAAGUGAAGGUGCGGGUUCCGAGAUGUCUGCCAGCUUGCUGUCCAGCCAGAGCGUAAGUCCGAUGGGCAGUCGGGAGAACCUAAGGUCACCCCAAAGCCCCACGGAGCUGUCGGAUUGGAUGCUGGGUGGCUCUCGCAAAAGCUCCAGUGCUAACAACGACCAUAUCGCCCUCUCGCGUCACCCGUCGGAGAACGAGCAGGAGAACCAAUCUACGUCGGAAAUGUUCAAAGACAUGCUGUCCCUGAAACGGAAUGUGUUGUUCAACAAGCUGACAUCCUUUGAGUCGGAGGGUAGCAUUGCGAUGCAAGAUUCAUCUGGGACAUUAUCUGUCGCUAGUGACGUUUUGCCGCAACAGCAAUCCGGUGACUUUUUGGCUACCUCUAUCUCUUGCCGUUCGACGGUGUCGGAUACCGAGUAUGAGAAAUUUCCGAAAAGCUCCACCCUGAAGGACGCGAAAAAGAUGGCGGGUGGUAUAUUUUCCGGCAAGUCAUCACUAAGUGCGGGCUUUCGCUACACUGGCGGCAGCCUAAUUCCGUCGUCCGGGUCGCCUUCGCCGGAUGCGCCCCGGGUGUAUCUGUUCGAGGGGCUGCUAGGUAAGGAUCGGUCCAGCAUCUGGGACCAGAUGCAGUUCUGGGAAGACGCGUUCCUGGACGCGGUCAGCCAGGAGCGGGACAUGAUCGGCAUGGAUCAGGGACCGGGCGAGAUGAUGGAGCGCUACAAGGCGCUGUCCGAGUCGGAGCGCAAGCGACUCGAGCACGAUGAGGACCGGCUGCUGUCCACGAUGCUGUACAAUCUGACAGCAAUUCUGGUAAUGCUGAAUGUACACAAGCUGGAAAUCAAGAAAAAAGUACGGCGACUGCUAGGCAAGAGCCACAUAGGGUUCAUUUACUCGCAGGAGGUGAACCUGCUGCUCGAUCAGAUUAAUAAUCUGCAUGGUAAUGACAUCGAUCUGAAGCCGCUGGGAUCCCGUUUGCUGCACCGGCAAAGCUUCACCGUACACCAGGGCAUCGAUGCGAGCGGAUCGCUCCGCUUCAUUGAAGUGCGUGACGACGGACUGGUGCUGCGUUCGGUGAACGGUAGCAUCACCGAGCGAUGGUGGUUCGAGCGGCUAGUCAACAUGACCUACUCGCCGAAAACGAAGGUGCUGUGCCUGUGGCAGCGUAACGGGGGCCAAACGCAGCUGCACAAGUACUACACGCGCAAGUGCAAGGAGCUGUACAACUGCAUCAAGGAGUCGAUGGAACGCAGCGGCUGCGCCGGCCAGGCCCCCGAGCUGGGAGGCGAGUUCCCGGUGCAGGACAUGACGACCGGCGAGGGCGGUCUGCUCCAGGUGUGCCUUGAGGGCGUCGGACUGUUGUUUGCGAACAGCAAGCCACCUUCCCCAACCAGUUAGCCGAGUAGUGGAAGUUGCUGUGCCAUUUUGUGCUUCACCUAAACCAAAUCUUGUGUUGCUCGCGUUUUUUUAAAACGAUCGAUGUAAUGUUAUGUAUCGCAUUUACAUGCUCCUCAAAAUUGCCAUCAAUUGCCAUCUGUUCAUUUAUCAUAAUAAACUAAAAAAAAAAAACAAAUCGCCCCCGCCCCAGUAUUAACAAUUCCACCAGAAAACACAUACAGGCAAGGAGAGAGAAAGCGAGAGACACUUUGAGGGAAAAAUGAAAGAGAGAGAGAAAGAGUAAGGUAGUGAACUAGAAGUACAGAAAUUGAAGUACGAGCGCGAAAUAUAAACCUAUGGCGUUUAAGUUGUUCGCACUCGUUACCCAGUUCUCGCCAUUACACGAGACCAGCAAAAGUGAAAAAUUCAUCCCAGUUUUCUAGCAGCUAUCUCUGUUUUAGUAUUUUGUAACUACUUUUUUAGUUGUUAGCUCUUAGACAAUUGUUGCCGUCGCAUUCAUUGUAACGUUUUCGAUUUGUUUGUUUGUUUGUUUGUUUUUUUUUUUGUUACAUUUACCAAUUCUCGCCAUUAGUAUACUUAUGUUUUUGUUUGUUUGUUUGUUUUCAAAACAUUGGAAAGUAAAAGCUAAAAUGCGAAAUGUGUUUGCCAUUCUUGUUUUUUUUUUCUUCUUCUGUUCUCUCUCUUCUAUUAUUUCCUCUGUAAGCUUCUUGUUAGUACGUUCUUUCGUAUUCCUCAUUACCCAUUUCCCUGUCUUACUUAGUGUAUUUUAUUGAACGCGCUUAGUAAGUCUAGCAAACAAAACCUGGAUUGAAAUAUAGUCAUUUUUCUUGGUUUGUUUAUGCUUUUUUUUUAAUCGUUUCUCAUUUACAUCGUAUCACAACUGGUACACCUUUGCAUGCUUCUCCCUUUUAUUGCCACUCUUACCAUAAGACAUGAUUUUUAGAGUGUUUGCGCGCUCCCCUGCUAACCGAACUGUGUCGUUGAUUGGGUUUUCGAUUGUAACAUCAAACGCUAGUUGUGUUUUAGUUUGUUUUGAUUUUUAUAUACUUGCUGUACCAAAUGUGUUUAUCAUGUUUCCGAACUCCGUUUUCUGUUUACCCACCAUUUGUAGAUCGCUCACCGAUGUCACACUAUAGCUCUAUGCAGCUAUCAUUUUCCUGUUUUACCAUUUGAACUUUUCACAGCAAUGCCGUUUUUUUAGUUUUGAAUUCCUUUUUGGUUACCUUUUUUUUUUGGUUUCUCCUUAACUUCUUACUGUUUUCUUUUGAAACAAUUUGGUUUUGAAAUUAAUACUGUACGUUUCGACUUUCGAGUACUUUGUUUUCCUAUUUUCCUUUUUUUGUAUAUGUCGAGUAAAACAAAAACAACACAAUUGAAGCAAAACUACUGUUUAGUUUCUAGUGCCGAUCGUUUUCGAAGACCAUCUCACAAGUAAAUUUGUUUGUAUUUGAUAAUCUUCUCCCCUACCCCCCCCCCCCCCCCCCCCCUUUUCCCACAAUUUCGCCAUAAUGGACAUGUGUUUUAUCAAGUGGUGUUAAUUGAUAUCUUUAUAUGUUCGUAGGCCAAUUUUAAUGCGCAUCUUCUUUAGCUCAUCAAUAUAUUCGAUACCGUGCAUAUAUAUACAUAGAUGUUAUACAUAGACACCUAGAGUUUUGCCACCAUCAUUGCUCUUAGCCGCGCUCUAACACGCGUGUCAUAGUCAACCGCAAGCAAACAAACAAACAAAAAAAAACAGAAAAAAAACAAUUGGAAGUUACGUUUCGUACAUUAGUUUCAUGCACUUUUCUGUUCCAUUGUUUGUUCUUUCUUCUCAAUAUGUUUUGUUGUACAUCCUUGUAGCUUUUAUUCGUUUGUUUUUUUUUUGUGUACCAUUACGCACACGGGUAGCAUAAGCUAGUUAUGCGGCCACACCAUCUCUGCUCCAUACCAUUGUACUACAAAACGCUCAUUUUGCCGGUAGUUGCGUAGGUCAUUCGGGGUUGUUUCUUUUUUUUUUUCUUUCUCUCCGAUCUUGUUACGAUGCAAGUUGCGUUACGUUUUUGUUUUGUUUUCUCUCUGUUUUCAGUUUCUAUGUUAAGUUUUUCCAUGUUUUCUCGUGCUCGUGGUUAACUAUUUUGCUUCGAAGCUAGAACUAUAGAAUGCUGAUGGUAGCAGUUUUAGUAGUAGUUUGCUUUGUUUAUUUUAUUUUUUUUUGUUUAGUAACAAAAACAAACCGUGUCGUAUUACAACAGAGCCAAUCAUUAGACAACUUUUUUUUAGUAUUCCUCCAACAACAACAAAAAAGUAGACUUUAGAGAUCGUACAGAACCACCAAAAACGGCGGAAGAAACCAUCGCUGAGCGACCUUCUUUGCUAGUUGAUGCCGUUCUUUUUCCCACGUUCAAACCUGUAUGCCUGCAUAAGCGAAUUACACACCAUCUAUACCAUAUAUACAAACACGCACACGUUUGAAGCGAUCUACAUCGACUGAAAGGACGCGCAAUGGUUUGCGAUUGAAAUGUAUCGCAGUGUGAAUGGUACGGCUUUUUUUUUUUUUAUGGCAACCUUUUCGAAAAUCCAACCUGUGUACCAUCGCAUUCAUGUGAAGGCGGAAACAUUUCAAUCGCAACGACCCUACGACCCAGUGAUGACUGACUCUACCGUACUGUAUUGAAGUUUUGAUUAGUGUUAGAUAGUGCACACAGCACACAGAGCACACACACACAUAUACUAGUAAAACAUAUACACCAACACAGACAGAGAAAUGCGCGCGCGCGCGCGCCCAGAAACAAAAACUCGCGCAAGAAGUACCAGAGCUAGUAGUACAGGCAUGGCCAACUAACAUGCGUUCUUUAUUCUCUUGCAUCGUUCGACGGAAUCCGCCGACCAUUCUGUCCCUCGUUGUGGCCACCAAUUUUCCGCCAUUCGGUGUACAUGGUUAGUUCUUCAUCCGGCUUAAUCAUAUACGGAAGUGCUUCACACAGAAAGGUGGCGUGUUCAUUCUGGAGGAGUACAAUCCCAAAACAAGACUUAUUAUUCAACGAAAAUACAAAUCCGCCAUGG